AGGGCUUUGAGCAGUACUCGCGGGCAUAACCUUAUCUCAGCCUGUCCUCUCGGGGCACAGGUGUUCACCAGCUGGCAAAGCAGUUGCACUGCUGGGCACAGAACUGGGUUAGCCCAGUGUCUUUAACUCUGGACGCACCCCGGAAUCGCUGGGGAAUAUCUAGGCUCCUGCUAGACCCAUUCAAACAGGGUCUCCUAAGGAGAGGUUGGGCUGCUGUUCCUCCUCUCUUCCCAACUCGGGUAAUGUGGGUGAACUAUUUGCUCAGGCUGGGAGGAGUUGCGGGGGGAGCAAUGGGACAGAGAGGUGAAGAGAAGGGCUUCUGGAGUGACGCUGCCAGCUUGUCCAGCUCUGUGUGGUCCUGGGCCAGCUCCUGAACUCACUGCUCCCUCCUCUGUACACGGGAAUAACAAUCAUCAGACGCACCCCCCCCAAACACACCGGGUUGCCAUGAGAAUCAAGUGAGUUACACCCCAUGGGCCGAGACCCACACCGCGGGGGCGUGCGGUAAGUGCUUGCUACCAUUAUGAUUAUUCCACCUCUGACUUUCCCUCCAGUAUACCAGUCGUGUACGGGAUGCUCCUGUCACUCUGAACUCCGCGCUGUAAGCUCCUCGAGGCCAUGGCUUCUCAAUCUUUGAAAUCCACACUGCAGUGGGAAUGGAGUUGAAGGACGGACAAAGGAAGGAGACAAGAGACUCAAAGGACAACAGUACCCGCUCCCAGGCACCCAUUUGUUGGAUGCAGGGGCCGGAGGAGACCAGGGGCAAUGAAUCACAGACCUGCAGGUUCUUCAGGUGUCAUCCCGCAGGGCUUCGGGCGCCCUCAACCCAGCCAAGCUAUCUUGGGAAAGAGCAAAUAGGUAGUGUAGGGCGAGGACCUGGGGUUUUGGUCCUAGUCCGGUGCUCUCUUGCUACCCACUGUCUCCCAGGUUCUGGUAAUGACCCCCAACUUUUUUUGGCAUCAAGGACUAGUUUCAUGGAAGAAAAAUGUUUCCAGUAGCAAAGGUGGGAGGAUGGUUUCGGGAUUAGAUUCUCACCAGGAACACACAACCUAGAUCCCUCGUGUGUGCAGUUCACAGGAGGGUUUGUGCUCCUGCCAGCAUCUCCUGCCCUGAUCUGACCAAGGCGCAGCUCAGGAUGGACAGACUGUAAAUACAGAGGAAGCUCCUCUCGCUCACAAGCUUGCCCGCCACCACCUCCUGCUGUGUGGCCACUGACCGCCUAGGGGUUGGGGACCCAUGUCGUUUAAGUACUCGAUGGAAGAAUCCACUCCUUGGUCAGAGUUUUGCCUCCCAGCCCCAGCAAGCAUCCCAGGAUGGAACUGAAACUUGUAUGACCAUGCAGACACGCUGAGGCUCAGGCCCGGGAGCAGCAGCAGAAGAGCACAGAGCGGAGGGGUGAGCAGGGAAGGGGAAGACUCCCGCUGAAAGAAAGAAGAGGUGGGAGGUGCAGCAGUGGCAGGUGUUGCCUGCCCUUGGAUUCGCUGCAGUAGGGCCAAGCAGCUCCUUAGAAACAAAAACAAACCCCAGGAUGCAGGUUCCUGCUGUUAACAGCUUCAAACCACC
rnacentral:lncRNA from 1 species